rnacentral:rRNA from 1 species
UCUAAUACCGGAUGGGACUGCCGGCCGCAUGGUCUGGUGGUGGAAAGCUCCGGCGGUACAGGAUGAGCUCGCGGCCUAUCAGCUUGUUGGUGGGGUGAUGGCCUACCAAGGCGACGACGGG